rnacentral:rRNA from 1 species
AUACGGAGGAUCCGAGCGUUAUCCGGAUUUAUUGGGUUUAAAGGGUGCGCAGGCGGCCAUUUAAGUCAGCGGUUAAAUCGUGGGGCUCAACCCCAUUCUGCCGUUGAUACUGGGUGGCUUGAUUGCGGUCGAGGUUGGCGGAAUUCGUUGUGUAGCGGUGAAAUGCAUAGAUAUGACGAAGAACACCGAUUGCGUAGGCAGCUGACCAGACCGCAAAUGACGCUCAUGCACGAAAGUGUGGGGAUCGAACAGGAUUAGAUACCCUGGUAGUCCGCACAGUAAACGAUGAAUACUUGUUUUCGGCGAUAUAAUGUCGGAGGCAAAGCGAAAGCGAUAAGUAUUCCACCUGGGGAGUACGCCGGCAACGGUGAAACUCAAAUGAAUUGGCGGGG